CUUUCAAUUCCUUCUGGGAUUCCUC
rnacentral:other from 1 species